rnacentral:rRNA from 1 species
UCAGGGGCUAUGAAAUACAUGGGCGCUAACAUCGCUCAUGUCUGACAAAGGCCCCAGAGGAAGCUCCGGCUAAAUCCGUGCCAGCAGCCGCGGUAAUACGGAUGGAGCAAGCGUUGUUCGGAAUCACUGGGCAUAAAGCGCAUGUAGGCGGCCCCAAAAGUCAGGUGUGAAAUACCCCGGCCCACCCGGGGAAUUGCAUUUGAAACUGAGGGGCUCGAGUGAUGGAGGGGAGAGUGGAACUCCUGGUGGAGCGGUAAAAUGCGUAGAUAUCAGGAGGAACGCCGGUGGAGAAGUCGACUCUCUGGCCAUCUACUGACGCUGAGAUGCGAGAGCUAGGGGAGCAAACGGGAUUAGAUACCCCGGUAGUCCUAGCCGUAAACGAUGGGUACUAGGUAGAGGAGGUUCCGACACUUUCUCUGCCGAAGCAAAUGUGAUAAGUACCCCGCCUGGGGAGUACGGUCGCAAGACUA